rnacentral:rRNA from 1 species
GUGGGGAAUCUUCCGCAAUGGACGAAAGUCUGACGGAGCAACGCCGCGUGAACGAUGACGGCCUUCGGGUUGUAAAGUUCUGUUAUACGGGACGAAUGGUACGACGGUCAAUACUCGUCGUAAGUGACGGUACCGUAAGAGAAAGCCACGGCUAACUACGUGCCAGCAGCCGCGGUAAUACGUAGGUGGCAAGCGUUGUCCGGAAUUAUUGGGCGUAAAGGGCGCGCAGGCGGCGUCGUAAGUCGGUCUUAAAAGUGCGGGGCUUAACCCCGUGAGGGGACCGAAACUGCGAUGCUAGAGUAUAGGAGAGGAAAGCGGAAUUCCUAGUGUAGCGGUGAAAUGCGUAGAUAUUAGGAGGAACACCAGUGGCGAAGGCGACUUUCUGGACUGUUACUGACGCUGAGGCGCGAAAGCUGGGGGAGUGAACGGGAUUAGAAACCCCAGUAGUCC